rnacentral:rRNA from 1 species
UACAGAGGGUGCGAGCGUUAAUCGGAAUUACUGGGCGUAAAGCGCACGUAGGCGGCUUUGUAAGUUAGAGGUGAAAGCCUGGGGCUCAACUCCAGAAUUGCCUUUAAGACUGCAUCGCUUGAACGUCGGAGAGGUGAGUGGAAUUCCGAGUGUAGAGGUGAAAUUCGUAGAUAUUGGGAAGAACACCGGUGGCGAAGGCGGCUCACUGGCUCAUUACUGACGCUCAGGCGCGAUAGCGUGGGGAUCAAACAGG